rnacentral:lncRNA from 1 species
CCUCUUGGGCCACCGUCGCCCACCCGGCAGUAGCGUAUAUAGAUGCCUUUCUUGCAAGGUUGGAAUAAGACGUUAAAGGUGUUGAUUUCUGAUUUGGAGGACGCGAAAGCAACAGAGAUCCUCCCCGCUCUCCUUUCCCCCGCUCUCCUUUCGCCCACUGACCCCCGACCUUCGCUCAGACACUUUGCAAGAGCCCCAGCCCGGCAUGAACCUUCCGGCGCGGCAGUCCCAGAGCCCACUUGCAGCCAUCCUCCUUGGUUGCUUCUAGGCCUGGCUGCGAGGAGUGGGACUCCCAACCUUUGUUGGGAGACAAAGAACAAGAAAAGGGAGCCUGGAAAAUUAACUGGCACAGAGGGUAAGAUUUAGACAAGGCUGAUGGCUUUAGGGAUUGCGGAGUGUCCCGUGUAGCUGCGCUGCAAGAGUGCUCUAAUGUGCCAUAAACAUGAUGUCUCGAUUUUCUAGACUUCAGGUUAAUUUCUCACGCCUAGCUGUCACAUACAACCCACCCUUCCCUGCUCCCAUUGAUGCACUGAUUAAAAAGAAGAAAAUAAAAUGAUCCCCACCCAUUGUACCAGACCAAAUUCUGGAAGUUUAUUCAGUGACUUGAUGGGUACAUUAGUGACUAAGUAACUUAUUCAAGGUAACAUUGACAACAGGUGGCAAAGUCAGAAUCUGAACUCCGAUCUCGUGGACUCUAGGGGCUGUGCUAUGAACCAAGAUGCUAGAGGACUCUCAGAAAUGUUUAGUCCCAGCCCUAAUUGAAGCCAGCUUAGACCACAGUGCUGACGAAUAAAGCAUACCAGAUGCUAAGAGUCAAAAAAAUAGAACCAGAAGUCAGUAAAUUAUUUAAAGUAAGACUCCAUGGGUAUCUGGGUUUUAGUUUCCUUAUCUGGAUGAAACAGAAUUGGACCUGCUGAAGUCCAAGAUCUCUCCCAGCCCUAAUAGUCUAGGAAUUCUAGAGAAUAUAAUUGGUAAUUUGCUGGUUGCCAUCUAGAAUAUCACAACAUUGUCUUCUGGGUGAUGAAGACUUUUAGAUUGAUAAACAUAGAUGAAGCAGCACCAAGGUGAACUGGCCUCACCAUUGCUGAUUUGAAACUAGGUUCUAAACUGCUUGGUGCACGAGGACAGAGAGAAAUGCUGAUGGUUGCCUGGUAGAUGACUGUGAAAUAAUCCCCCUUUUCAUUCUCCCCUCAACCCCCUUCUGCCAGACAAAACUUAAUUGUGUCACAUUGGAAGAAAAACAGACUCUUGAGACAGGAGUAAAUCUGUAGUCAAAAAGCUACAAACCACUUUGUAAAGAGCCCUCACAACACAUCUGGCCGACUAGCUACUUCUGGAAUUACUAAGAAUCCAAUGAAAUUUACAUUUCACCUUUCAAAACAAAUGUAACCAAACAAGGAGGACAUUACAGCCCCUGCUUAAGGAACAUUUGCUGACUUCUUUUAAACCAGAGGCAGAUGACAGAAGUGCAGAACAAGGGGAGUUUUAAGCAAAAGCUGCAACUAUUUUUUUCCACUCUGGAACUUUACAAUAGACAGAUCAGAAUAGGUUACUGAAGAGGAUUCUGUUUGUGAGUAAAUUGGCUUUUAGACUCAAAGGCCUUCACUCCCCUGAAAUAGGAUGGGACUUUCUUCAAUUUGAGAUAUAAUAAAAAUGCUUCCCAUUAUGACAGACCCUUAGAUGGAAGUAUGCAUCUUUGCCUCAAACACUCAAAAUCACAUGAGGGGCUUGGUUUGGACAUAAGCUCAGUUUGUGCUGGAAUAACCUUCAGUAGCUGUUAUUUGUUUACAUUUCAUAUGUUCAUGUGAAAUUUUAUAUGUUAUGUCAAUAGGAAGACAAAGAAUUUCCAUUUAAGGCAAUUUGACCCAUCUUAUGGAAACUCUCCCUGUUUUCACUUCAGAUAUCCUUUUGUAGAAUGCAGCAGAGGAGGGGGCAGGUUGAAAUUAAUUUAACUCCUUGCCAGUAUGCUUGGCUUAUGGAGCUCUAGACUGAGUUCUAGAUGAAUAGCAUUCAUUCAUUUUCAUCUUUAAGCUCCUUGGAGAUAGGAUUUCACAAUCUACUGGAUAAACCACACAUUAAAUAACCCCUUACCUUUGGAAUUGUUUUCAUGGCCCUAAUCUAAUCUUUCCUCCAUUAUAUAAUCUUAGAUCUGGAAAAUAAAGGUAAAUGUAUAGAUGCUUCCCAACUAACAAUGGAGUUACAUUCUAAUAAACCCAUCAUAAAUUUAAAAUAUUCUAAGUGGAAAAUGUAUUUAAUGCACCUACCCUACUGAACAUCCUAGCUUAACAACAUAGCACAUUGUAGAGAAUCAGUUUUCCCCUGUGAUCACAGGGCCGACUGGGAGUUGAAGCUCACUGAAGCUGCUCAGCAUCUCCAGAGAGGAUCAGGCCACAUAUCAGUAGCCCAGGAAAAGAUCCAAAUUCAAUAUUCAGAGAGAGGUUUCUACUGAAUGCAUACUGCUUUCCCACCAUUAUAAAGUUGAAAAACAGUGAGUUGAUCCAUACUAAUUUGAAGACUAUCUGUAUUAGUUUUCCACAAAUUUGAUGAAUUAAAACAGAUUAACUUACAGUUUUGUACACAAGAAAUCCAAAACAGUCACAGGGCUAAAAUUAAGGUGUUGACAGUGCAGUGUUCCUUUCUGGAAGCUGUGGGAGUGGGCCUUUUGCUUACCUUUUAUUUUAGAGGCUGACCACAUUCCUUGGUUUAUCGCCCCCUAUCUCCAUCUUCAAAACCAGCAGUGUUGCAUCUCUGACCAUUUACUCUGAACCAGUAAAGUUCACUGAUUUUAAGGGCAUGUGAUUAGAUUAGGCCCACUGUUUUGGUUUUUGUUUUUGGAAGGAAAAAUAGAAACGUACCACACCGGCAGAUACUUACUGUGAACAAACCAAGAACAAACGUUACCUCAAGGCUAAAGCCAAUGAUCCCAAAAUUGGACAUGAGUCAGCAACAAAAGUCUUUUACUAAUAAAACUCCUGACUGGAUGAAGUGCUUAUAAUACUUUAUGUUGAUAUUUAUGAAGCACUUUAAAAAAAAUUUAUUUUAGUUGUAGAUGGAAACAAUACCUUUAAUUUAUAUUUAUGUGGUGUUGAGGAUUGAACCCAGUGCCUCACACAUGCCAGAUGAGUGCGCUACCACUGAGCCACAACCCUAGCCCCUUAUGAAGCACUUAAAACAAUGUGCCAGGGACAUUUAGUGUAUGUGUGCACUACUUGGUAGGUGCUAUUGUUCAUAUUUUACGAAUGAGACUGAUGGCCAGAAAAUUAAAGUUUUUCUUGGUUGUGGAGGGUACCAGGGGAUUGAACUCAGGGGCACUCAACCACUGAACCACAUCCUCAGCCCUAUUUUGUAUUUUUUAAAAAUAUUUUUUUAGUUGUCAAUGGACCUUUUUUUUUUAUUUAUUUAUAUGUGGUGUUGAGAACUGAACCCAAUGCCUCACACAUGCUAGACAAGCGCUCUAACACUGAGCCACAAUCCCAGCCCCUAUUUUGUAUUUUUAUUUAGAGACAGGGUUUCACUGAGUUGCUUAGCACUUUGCUUUUGCUAAGGCUGGUUUUGAACUCGUGGUCCUCCUGUCUCAACCUCCCAAGCUGCUGGGAUUACAGGCAUGUGCCACCUCACCCAGCUAAAAUUAAGGUUUUUGCAUGAGGCCCCCUGACCCAUUAUGUGGCAAAUUUGGAAUAUGAGCUGACAUCUGUCACCAAAGUCUGUGUUUUUAAUCAUUAUAAUUGCCUCUCAGAGCAUUCUGCUCACAUGGAGUGCUGGUUGCAGAUCUGGCUUUGGCCAAAGGGUUUGCAAACCUUAAGAGGAUUCAAAGGCCAGCAGUGAAGAAAUAGGAUUUAACCUGAAGAAGAAAACACUGAAAUGCAGCCAGGUGCAAUGGUGCAUGCCUGUAUUCCCAGAGACUCAGGAGACUGAGGCAGGAGGAUCACAAUUGAGACAGCCUCAGCAAUUUAGGGAGGCCUUAAACAACUUAGCAAGACCCUGUCUCAAAUUUAAAACAAUAAAUAAAUGAAAAAAAAGGACUGGGAAUGUAGCUCAGUGGUGAAGUGUUCUUUGUAAUAAUACACAUGUAUCUAUGUGCAUGUGUUACAUUUAAUAAUUUAUAACUUCUCUACCUAUAAACACCUGUAUAUUUGGAGUAUUUUUUAAAAUAACUUGUUACUGGAAGUAAUGUGCAAUCAAAAUAGUUUAAAGGCUAUGUUUCUAAAUUUGUUUCCUCUAGGCCAAUCUAUGAACUUGCACUUCUCAAAAUCAAAGGUCUAUAAUCACAUCUCUGAAAAGUUCCUUCCUCCCUUAUAUUCAAUAUACAUUUAGAGAACAUCCACUAUGUCCCAGCUCCUGCUAGGAUUUGAAAAUACAAAAAAGAAGCCAGGCAUGGUGGCACACACCUGUAAUCCCAGUGAUUUUGGAGGCUGAGGCAGUAGAUAACAAGUUCAAUGAUAGCCUCAGCAAUUUAUUGAGAUGCUGUCUCAAAAUAAAAAAAUAAAAAGGUCUGAAGAUGUAGCUCAGUGGUAAAACACCCCUGGGUUCAAUUCCCAGUACCAAAAACUAAAAAGUUGAGAUGCAAAUCACAGCAAUCUUAGCUUAUCUGAUGGCAAUUAGGAUCAAGGAAUAGAAGAUUCAGAGUAUACCAAAAUUGAAUUGAGAUUCUUCUAGAAGUACAGGCUGCUAAAUAUGGGUGGCAGUUAUGAAGGCACACUACUUAAAAGAGCAUAAUGGACUAGUAGACUUCAGUUGCCACACUAUUGCAUCAGCCUCAGUACUCAAACCCAAACUUCCCUGCCCCUUAGCCAGGGAUGAAGCAUGUAGGUAGUCCUGGAACUGGGCCAUUUCUGCCCAGAGAACUCCUUUGUCAGUCUGAAGGACUCCCUACCUGAGCCUCUCAGAACUCACUCCAGGCAAAAGCUUUUCCUAUCUAAGCCUCCUUCCUUCCCUUUCUUCUCUCAAACAUGUCAGAUCUACAUGAUGACCUGGAGGUCCUUAUCUACUCCUGCUCCCUCCCCAUUUAUCCUUAAAUAUCCAGUGUUUCCACAAUCUAUCUCUUGAAUGUAUAAUUCUGUCUUGGUGCUGCUUCUCAGAGACCUAAAUUGACACAAAUAUUGAGUGUGUGAUGAAAAGGAAAUAACAGCUUUGGUCUUCAUAAGCAGGCUUAGCAAUUAACUGAAUGAGAAUUUUUAAGUGCUGGUUCCUGAGAAUCUAAGAGGAUGUGCUUUUCAGACAGUCCAUCUUUUACACCUGAGUCUAGGAGUCCAAGUUUACUUUAGUGUUUAAAUAUAACAGGUUAAAUGUUCCUAGUUUAUUUUAGUGUUUUAAGUCACUGUAAUAAGGGCCUAAGAAAUAUGGCCUGAAGGUAUUCAUCUGAUGGAAAAUGAGAAAUGCCUGAAAUGGCAUACUUACCACCCCUGCCAUCAUCUCUGAUCUGCAACCUGCACUGCUAUGACAUUGGCAAUUAAAAUUACUUCAGGAGCCUGCAACUUCCCAAGCCAGCUGUGGGAGUGUUCUCAGAGACCAAUGAUGAAUCAGCUCAAACUUCUCCAAAGCCCUAAAAAACCAGAUAGCUCAUGGCUCAUAAUAUUUGUCCUAAAUACAUUAGAAGCUUUUUGCUAUAUUGAUCUUGAAUCAUUAGCCUUGUAAGACCAACAAUUAUACAUCUUCUGGCAAUGAACACACGGAGUCAGAAUUUUGAAAAAAAAUUUUGUAGAUAUUAAAGACAUUAAAAACAAAAUACAACAUUAUUUUGCCUUGCUUCUAAACAGCAAGGUUAUGACCUUAGGUAAAUUAUUUAAGUUCUCUAGGUAAUUCUGAGAAUUGUUGGUGUUGAGACUUAACAUUAUACAAUCACUGAAACUGUAAUCCUCAGUUAAGGGGUCAAAGUUAUUCUUCGUUUCUCAGGAGGACUGGUCUAGUUCAGAAAAUACCUUUCCAUAGGGAUAUGGUACACUUUCCUUAGGUGCCUGUGGUAAUUGUCCCUCUCAGUAUAUUUGGUCAAGAUAGUGAAGUGAACAAACUGUUUGAAGAGCUCCAUGGUGAUGUCAUGUUGAAUAAGGUGUUUGCUAAUACCAGCACACAAACAACUUUGCUAUCACUCACAGGAUGAACACUCUUUAAAAUUAAAUCUAAAUCCUCUUUCUUUGCCAAACAAAAGUCAGAACACAGUUAAUGGUGAGACACAUCCACUAUUAUUCUGUAAUGGGUUAACAAGGCCCUGGCAGUCACCAGGCCCCUUUCCCAAUCUUGCUUUCUCCCCACACAUGGUUAGCCUGGCUGUAGGUCCUUUAGCACAGAGUGGGAAGGUUCCUCCCCCACUGGCUGGAAACUUAGCAAAGAGAUUAGAUGGAAUCAAUGAGAGACAAGACAAAUCACACACAACCAAAGCCACUGUUUGCCAGGCAGAGAGGCCAGAGUCAGAGAUUUCAACCUUGGUAUACCCGUGGUGGCAGGUAGACACAAUGUGUUUAGUAGGAGGAUAAAGACAGGCAAAUUUGAAAUUGGAAAAAGGCAAGCUUCACAGUCUCAAGCACUCUCAUUCAAGAUAAACUCUUAAAUUAUUUCUUCAGGCCAGGCGCAUUGGCACAUGCCUGUAAUCCCAGUGACUCAGGAAACUGAGAUGGGAGGAUCAGAAGUUCAAGGCCAACCUCAGCAACUUAGCAAGGCCCUUUGUAACUUAUGAAAACCCUGUCUCAAAACAGAAAAAAGACUGGGGAUGUAGCUCAGCUGUAAAGCACCCUUGGGUUCAAUCCCCAGUAUAAAACAAAAACAAAAACAACAAAAAAAAGAUGUAUUUCUCAAAUUUUACAUCAUUCUAUUUGUUAAUUUGCAGGACUAUUAGAUUUUUCUGCUUUUGCUGAACUUGAAUAGUGUUUACAUAACCUUGUGGGUUAUACAAAUUUUUGUGGGCUGGUCUGGGAGAUUUUCCUCUAUUACCUCAAACCACAGGCAUGGUAUUAUUUCUAUUAUAACAGGUUGAAUGUUCCUAGUUUAUUUUAGUGUUUCAAGUCACUGUAAUAAAGGCCUUAAAAACACAUUCUUACAAAAAAAAAUCUUACAAGGUUCUAAUGUAUAAGCUAGCUGUAAGCAGAGUCUACAUAUAUACUGAAACUCCUAUGCAUUUACUCAUUAAAAGUAUAUUUUGUGACCUAGUAAUGUACAUAGCAUUGUGGUGAGGAUAACUUCAAAGAAUUCACAGUUUCUUGUAGAAGACAAAGUAAGACAAAAUUCAUAUGGGGACACUGGGGGACCACAGUGUGAUUUUCAUGACCCUCAAUACUUUUGAGUCCUUUUCCCCCUAAAAAAUAUUAAAAAUUACAUAUUACAACUGUGCCUAAAUAUUUUAUUGCAAAAAAAAAAAAAAAAAAACAACUGUGCCUAUAUUCAGAUAAAUAGAAUCCAAGCUGUAUUAUAUUCUCUUUAGAUAUGUAACUAGUUUUAAAAGAAAUUAAAACAUUUCAUGGACCCUCUAUGUAUUAUAGGCUCUGGGUACUACACCUACUAUGCCCAAUAGAUAAGUCGACCCUGGAGAUGAGGAUUUGCAGAAGUGAUACUUGAGAAAAGGAUUAUUACCAGAAAAGAGGGGAAAGAUCAUUUUAGGAAGAGAAGGCAUGGACAAAAUCUUAAACUUAUGAAUGUUAAGGUAAGAGGUCCCAUGAGGGACCCUAAUUGGUAAAAAUGAGUUUGGAAAAGGUAGGCAGAAGCCAAAAUAUGAAGAAUCUUGUCUGCUAUUCUAAGAACAAUGAGGAAUUGAUAGAGAUAUCUGUGGAGUGACAUGUCCAAAUCUGUCUUACAGAGAGAUUACACUGGAACCACUGGAAAGAGGAUGUAGGUGCUUAAGAGACAAAGGCGGGCUGGGGCUGUGACUCAGUGGUAGAGCACUUGCCUAGCAUAUGUGAGGCACUGGGUUUGAUUCUCAGCACCACAUAAAAAUAAAUAAAAUAAAGGUCAAGCUAAAAAAUUUUUUUUUAAAUUUUAAAAAAGAGAGACAAUGGCAAGAAUUUAUAUAAUGAUGACAGCCUUAAAUCAGAUAGUGUUAACAAAAAUUAUAAAAAUUCCAAAGGACACAGGUGAUCAAUGAGAUAAGGAGGAAGGAGGCAGAAGCCUGGGUUCUAGUACUUGACUACCCAUCCAAUAUACAACAAAUCAUCCAACUCAGAUAUGGGAAGCAGCUACUGUCUGCAAUAUUUCUCCAGAUCAUUCUCAUAUUCAUCCCAUUAGACCAAUUCUUCCAGACCUUUUGAUCUCACCUUUAAUCCCUCCUGUCCUGAUAUCCUAUUUAAAUUCAUUUUUCCCCUUUUAAGGCUUAUCAGUGUUUGGUCACAAUUUUGUAUUUGACCUUUGACUCUGCACUUAGUCAUGAAUAUGAAGAACUCCUGUUGCUUAUUCCGGCCCCUGGAACCUAGCCAAUCCUACUUGACCUCCACAUAGGUUGGGGGCAGUGUAGUUAAGUCCUUUCUGCUGUGAACUGGUGAAUUUAGUAAAGGUACUGGCUGAGAGGGAAAAAGAAGGUGAGAAGCAGUUUGGAGAAAGAUAGUUAUUUCAAUUCUGCAUAUAUUAAAUCCAAGCUUCUACAGGUAUAGCCUAGACAUUAACCAAAGCAAUCACAAUAUGGUCCUAGAAUUUAGGAGAAUGCUCUGAGCUAGGAAGAGAGAUGUGUGUAGCUAAAAAAAAAAUUUACAUAGCAAGCUUUACCCUAGGCUUUGAAAGGCCUGCUUGCGAGGUUGGUCCUUGGCUGGCACAUAGGAACUUUGGGGGAGUGUUUCCACCACUCCCCAACUUUUAAGUAGGUCCACUGUACCUAAACAGUGCAAACAAUAUGGUUUAUGCUGACCACCUGCUUUCAGGGAGUCUGGAAUUUUGGUACUUGCUAAGCAGAGGGUACCUUUGUGACUAGCCUCCAAUAAAAAGCCUUGGGCACCAAGUCUGCAAUGAGCUUUUCUAGUUGAGAACACUUUUUCUAUAUUGUCACAAUUUGUGCUAGAGGAAUUAAGUAUGUCAAACUUGACUUUGUUGGGAUGGGACUCUAGGAAGUUUGCCAGGCUUCCUCUAGACUUAUUUUCAUGAACCAUUCCCCUUUGCUGAUUAUGCUUAUAUCCUUUCCCUGUAAUAAAUCCCAGCUAUAAGUACAAUGACACAUGGAUUCCUGAGUUCUAAUAAAUCUAAUAAAUCAUCCAACCUGGGGGUAGUCUUAGAGACUCACAAAAUGGAGAUUUUGAUUCUAAUCAAUUAGUUUUGGUAAAAUCCAUAAAAGACUAAUCAAUCUCAUACUAACAGCAGGAACACCUACAACUCGGUGCUGGGAAUAAAAAUGUAAUUGAACCUUUGCCAAGUUGCAUGGUUGCAGUAGGCCGGCCAGAUAACCUGAUUCCAAUUUGCUAAGAGUAAAAAUAUCAUUUUGCCUGACCCUAUAGACAAAAGUGAAGAUUCCUAAUUCCUAUUGCAAAGUGCACUGUUCUGAAAUCCAGUCAAAGAACAAAGGUGACAGUCAAGGGAAAAGUAAAAAAAUGCUCCUAACUAUGACAGAAGCAAAAUCUACUUAAUUAAGAGUUAGUAUGGUAGAAAGAUAUUCCCUUAAAAAAAAAAAAAAAAACACGACAGCAGUUGCAACAAAGAUGUUGUGAGGACCAUGACUAUUCUUUUACCAAAUUAAGAACAGUACAAAAUUUCUGGUGUUGGAUAUAAGACCCCAAAUAAAAUUUCUAGAGAACGAAUGUUGUAUGCUGUACAAAGGGCUUAUGAUUGAUUGUUCAACAGUAUGGCAGAUCCUACAGCAAGCACUAACAUCAACACUAUAAGAUGAAAUCAUUCACUAGCAUCCCCUUGAAAGACUUCCCACUGUCGCUACCACCAGCAUCAAUAGGGAAACCUUCCCUUAGUGUCUUUCUGAAGGUAGCUCUAACUCAGGUACUAAGUCAGACAGGUUGGCUGGCCAAGCAAUUUACUCUACAUGCAGAUAAGUUUGUCAAAGAGAGAAUGCUUAUGAGACUCACUAUUUCUAUUAUUCAUCUUGCUAAACUUGCUCAGCAACAUAUGAUAUUCAUUCAAUACCAGUAAUCAGUGAUCGCACUUCUUUCUCUUUUUUUGGUUUGAUUCUUAUUUCACAUCACUAGUUCAGGUAGAUAGAAACUUUUUUAUUAUUUAUACCAUAAAUUGCAGGAUGGUGAGGAAUCAUAAUUAAACCUGACCAAAUCCAAGCUAAUAGAAGAAUGGAUGCCACCCAAAGAAUCUGGACUCAAGAAUGGCUAAAUCAUGCCACUUCACAACACAGAUUUGCAUUGUUUCUUGCUGGGAAAAUGCAAACAUGUUUGAAAUUAUACAAAAGACAGUUGGAUUAGAAUUAAACAGAGCAUUUUACAUUUAAAUGUAUGAGAAGGAGCAGUGUAUAACACAUCGGGCAGCUAAGAGGUUACUCUAUCUUCAAAUGAUUUUCCAAAGGAAAUGGGAUAAUACUACAAAAAAAAAAUGGGGCCAAUUCAAUUUUCAUAUAUUUAAUACUCAAAGCAAAACUUGCUUAAAAAUAAUUAUGAACCCACAAUUAUCAUAAGGGCAAAUAUACUCAGGGACUAACAUGUAUACUGAGAACUCACAAUCUUUCUCAAGAGACUGAGGAAAAAUCACCAUUGAUAUUCUUCACCAUGUCCUUUGAAACACAGAAUGAUGUUCUCAAUGAUCUGGCUUCCUAGGAAAUAAUUUUCUUUUUUUUUUUUUUUUUUUGGCACCAGGAAUUGAAUCCAAGGAAUGCCCUACCACUGAAUUACAUCCACAGGCCUUUUUGUUCGUUUCAGACAAGAUGUCACUGAAUUGCUGAGGCUGAUCUCAAACUUGCAAUCCUCCUGCUUCAGCCUUCCCAGAUGCUGGGAUUACAGGUGUGUGCCACCACGCUGGGCUAGGAAAUUAUUUUCUAACAGAUGCUCACCAAUUCUAUACAAGAUAAGGGGAAGAUCUCAAAUGAGCCUGCUGCCAUUGCAAAAGAAUACCUAUUACCUCCUUCAUGCAAAGGGCUGUUUCUACAGUUUUCUACUCCCCUGGCCAGAGAUUAUUCAAAUGGAGAAAUGCGACAUUAAAAGUUUUAUGCGGGAGUAAAAUGCAUUAAAAAAAAAAAGUCUCAGACUCAUCUUAUUAACUCUGGUCCUUAACACAGCAUCUUUACAGGCCCCAUUCCAUCUCCUUUCUGGAUACAUCUUUAUGAUCCAGAUUCUGUUUUAUACCUUUCAGAAGUAAUAUUUCUCUCUUCUUUUAUGAAUAAGACAGGAUUAUUUGCUUAUGGAAAUCAGAGUAAUUACAGAGAUAUGAUAUAACAAAGUUAUAAAAUUAGAAAGGAGUCUUUAGGAAGAAGUAAAUGAGAAUGAAAAUUUCCCGAGGCAUUUCUACUUCUCCAGAAUGCCAUGUAGUGGGAAAAGCACUAGCUUUGCAGGUAAAUGAUUGUGUGAUAACUGUUUCUCUUUAAGUGUGCUAGUUACUAUACUAAGUGGCAAUAACACUUCAAGGAUAUCUUGGGAGGUUAUGAAUUCAUGCUAGGUCCUAACAAUGCUAGCUGAAAAUAGAAAAAUCUGGAAAACAAGAAAAUAGGGUAAAAGGAUGUACUUCCUUGGGAGAGCAGCUGAGAAGCUGGUAAUCUCAAAAUAGAAGUUUUCAAGACAGACACACUAUAAAGAACAAGUUCUAUGGACCCGACAUGGAACAUAAUAUAUUCAAAUGAUGCAUUUCAAACCAUUUGUUCACUUCUAUAUUAGAACCACAAAGAAUACAAUCAUUGCUAAAUAGAAGCUACGAAUAGAUGAAUGGGCCUUUGUAUUUACAGCCUUGGUUUAUUGGGAAACGAAUGAAUGUAUUAAAGAGAACCCUUCUUUUUCUCAACUGGAAUACCAAUUUACUGAUGCUUUAAGGUAAUUUUUCCAUAUAGUACACUUCCUAGUUGUUUCAAGUGCAUGUUUGAGACAUCUUAUCAUGCUAGCAGCACUAUUAUAUCUUCCUCUCCGACCGCCCCCCCUUCCUUAUAGAGCUAAGGAUCAAAACCAAGACUUCGUGCAUGCUUUACCACUGAGCUACAUCCCCCGUUCUACUGUAUCAUUUCUUGCAAAAGACUAUGUCAAACAAAGAAUAAAUGUGUUUUUUUCCUUUAUCCCUACUUUUUUUCAUUGUCCAAGGAAUACUCCAUAGAACAAUAAAUGCUGGAUUUAGGCUUCCAUCAUAUUAGGUACACUGAAAUUUGUGAGAGUGUAUGAAUUAUUUACAUAUUUUUCUUAAAAAAAAAUGAGACAGGGUUUUUUUGGGGGACAGGGUCUCACUAUGUUGCCCAGGCUGCUCUUCAACUCAUAUGCUUAAACCACACUCCUGUCAACCUCCCAAGUAGCUGGCACCACAAGUAUACACCACCACACCUCUUAAACUGGCAUACUUUGCAACUGAUUUAUAUCAUUGCCUUCUCCUCCACUCAGGUGGUUCUCUCUUCCUCUGUGAAUAUGAUUAUCUCUUCAUACUACAGUAGGGAUCAAAUGCCUUUUUCC